UACAGAGGGGGCAAGCGUUGUCCGGACUUACUGGGCGUACAGCGCGCGCAGGCGGAAGUGGACGUGCCGUGUGACAGACCACUGCUCACCAGUGGAAGGCCAUGGUACACGACACAUCUGGAGGCAGGGAGAGGGAUGUGGAAUGCCCGGUGGAGCGGUGAAAUGCGUAGAGAUCGGGCGGAACACCAGCGGCGAAGGCGGCAUCCUGGCCCUGACCUGACGCUGAGGCGCGAGAGCGUGGGGAGCGAACUGG
rnacentral:rRNA from 1 species